UACAGAGGGGGCCAGCGUUAUUCGGAAUUAUUGGGCGUAAAGGGCGCGUAGGCGGCUUUGCGUGUCUUUCGUGAAAUCCCUCGGCUCAACUGAGGACGUGCGGAAGAAACUGCAGGGCUGGAGUCCGGGAGAGGAGGGUGGAAUUCCCAGUGUAGCGGUGAAAUGCGUAGAUAUUGGGAGGAACACCGGUGGCGAAGGCGGGUCUCUGGGCAACAACUGACGCUGAGGAGCGAAAAGCGUGGGGAGCGAACAGG
rnacentral:rRNA from 1 species